UAUGUUUAAGUGUAUGAUGCACGGAGGUUUUUGAUACUUCAAGGAAUAGUUUAAAUCUAUUAAAUAUAA
rnacentral:tRNA from 1 species